GGCAGGAACAAUUCUUUCUUUUAGUAGCAGCUGAAUACAGUUUGCAGUUUUCUCAAUGUUCACAGUGCUGCCAAGGUUUUCAGAAGCUGCUUCAUCCUGCCCCAGCUGCCCAGAGAUAUCAGGACAUGGGACCCUCAGGGAGGGAGGCAAAGGCUGGUGAGAAGGCCAGGGCUGCUGUGACUGUCCACCCUGCUGAGGCUCCAGACAUCACGGAACAGAGAAAAACCAUCCCUAUUGUGCUCUGUCUGAAGCCCUGACCUGGAAAAUUUCACAAAGAUGAAACAAUUGUUUUAUGCCACUGAGCUUUGGGGG